CCUACGGGAGGCAGCAGUGGGGAAUAUUGGACAAUGGGGGCAACCCUGAUCCAGCCAUGCCGCGUGUGUGAAGAAGGCCCUCGGGUUGUAAAGCACUUUCAGUGAGGAAGAACGCCUGGUGGUUAAUACCCAUCAGGAAAGACAUCACUCACAGAAGAAGCACCGGCUAACUCCGUGCCAGCAGCCGCGGUAAUACGGAGGGUGCGAGCGUUGAAUCGGAAUUACUGGGCGUAAAGCGCGCGUGGGUGGCUUGAUAAGCCGGUUGUGAAAGCCCCGGGCUCAACCUGGGAACGGCAUCCGGAACUGUCAAGCUAGAGUGCAGGAGAGGAAGGUAGAAUUCCCGGUGUAGCGGUGAAAUGCGUAGAGAUCGGGAGGAAUACCAGUGGCGAAGGCGGCCUUCUGGACUGACACUGACACUGAGGUGCGAAAGCGUGGGUAGCAAACAGGAUUAGAUACCCGUGUAGUC
rnacentral:rRNA from 1 species